GGGGAGGGGCUGCUCAAGAUGAGGGGGUGUUGCAUAUGGGGUCAGAGAUCAGAAAGCCAUGUGGACUCACAGAAAACUGUACUAGAUAUCAUGCAAGAUGAAGGCAGCCUUGAUAGCAGCCAAGGUCCUCACACUCGCGUCUGCUCCCUUCAUAAAGCCAGCUCUCUGGGGAAGCUGAACGUACCAGUGGUUUUGCUUCCCUAUGUCCCCUCCAGCACUGGAGUCAAGGUCAACUUCACUCUGAGCUCCCCUCAAGGUUGCUUCUCUUGGUGUUGGCAAGUCCACCCUCCUCCGCUCUAUGGCGUGUCAUGAGCUGCGUCUACCAGCUGGUGUGAGUGUACUACACGUGGAGCAAGAGGUCACCGGGGACAACACACUAGCACUGGAUAGUGUACUCAAGUGUGACACUGAGAGAGUGCAGCUGCUCGCUAGAGAGGGGGAGCUACUGCAUGGCCUCAGGGGACAAGAACACAGCAGCAGGCAGCGCUUCUGAUGAACUGGCUGAGGUAUACCUUCCACUACAGGAGAUAGACGCUGAUGAAGCACCAGCAAGAGCUGGCUGUAUUCUGGCUGGUCUGGGGUUCACUCCACAGAAGAAUGAGAUUUUAUCUAGCUAAGACACUAUUUGCAAGGGGAAGGCGUGGGUGUUUUUUCAGAAUCAGGCUUGUUUUCAGAGCUAUCUUUUAGCUGCCAUAACUUGAAUUCCGUGGAUACAAUUUCAAUGAUUUUCUGAUUUUCUGAAAGCUUAGAAAGAGACCUUUCAAAUGGUGUCAUCAAAGUUUAUAUUUGAGAGAUAAAAGUAUUUACCAAUUUGGCCAUAACAUGAAUAAAAUAGCCCAUGGGGUCCAAGGCGGAAAAUUACAAAUUAGGGCCCCAACAAAAUUUUGGAUCAAAACACAUCAUUUGAAAGGUCUCUUUAAUUCUAAGCUUUCAGAAAAUCAUAACAUUUUUGACAUUGGAUCAACGGUAUUAAAGUUAAUGGCUGUUGAAAAAUCAGGUUUGUUUUUAGAGCUAUCUUUUAGAGGCCAUAACUUAUGUUAGGAACGUCCUAUUUAAAAAACUCAAAGACGCAUUCUGUAGCUCUGAGAAAGCACUAUUGUACACAAUUAAAGUGUCUUAAAACCGCUAAUUGCUCGCAGUGCCAAAGCUCACUAAUUUGUGUGUCCUAUGCUGUAGAUGUGGGAACACGGAACCAUCGUCGGUUGUGUGCAGUGUAUUAUAGUCGUACCCCCGGGUUUAAAGUGUCCAUGGACUACUGGACCGUGUCAUGCAGCUGCUGGAGGUGUCCUUCACCAAAGAUGGCAGUGGAUACUUCCUGAAGGCAGCUAAAGACUCUACCUAGUUCCCGGGCCGUUGUGCAGAGGUGUGUGUACGUGGGAAGGUGAUUGGGAAACUGGGCAUGCUCCAUCCUGGUGUGUCUGUUGUGCAGCUCUAGUGUGUGUGAGACUGGGAGGUGUGUCUGGUGCAGCUGUUCUCACGGCCUCCUCCAACCAGUACCUGCCCUCCGUACUCUCCAGAGAGAACCUAUCUCCUCAGGCCAACUAUGCUGCUCACUCUAACUGACCUUACGAUUAUUCUAGUAUUCAUAAUGUAAGUACGUACAUAUUGUAUACCAGUACAUGUGUUGUGUGGUGUCCCUUUUAUCAUAGUUGAGUGUGAGUGUGAGAGGCCAUAUAUAUAAGGAGGACAUACGUGUGUCGAGGCUGGAGGUGGCCCGUGUGCUGAGGGAGAGAAAUUAGUACAAAGAGAAGUACCUCUCACUAUUGGAGCAGAUUAGGUAAAGGGUCAUCGUGUAGUGUUUGUAAAGCGGUCAUCAUAACUCUAAUACAUACUAACACUGUGUAUCCAGAGGAGGUUCGACAGGUGCAGUGCAGCUCAAGCAAUUAGUCUCUGAUUACACGCUUGCAUGAGCGGAUAAUUAGUGUUCAUGCAAUCAAAGGCUAAUACAUACUAACACUGUGUAUUUGUACUAACAAUGUUAGUUGAUUAAUAAUAAUGUUUCUCUGUUGCACAGGAUGAGUGCUGACUCGGCUCUGUUUAAGUCCAAGAGCAAGAAAUCAAAGUGGUU